AGAAUCAACGCUGGCGGCGUGCCUAACACAUGCAAGUCGCACGAGAAAGGAGCUUCGGCCCUGAGUAAAGUGGCGCACGGGUGAGUAACACGUGAAUCAUCUACCUUCGAGUGGGGAAUAACUGAGAGAAAUCUUAGCUAAUACCGCAUAAUACCUACGGGUCAAAGCAGCAAUGCGCUUGAAGAGGAGUUCGCGGCAGAUUAGUUAGUUGGCGGGGUAAUGGCCCACCAAGACGAUGAUCUGUA
rnacentral:rRNA from 1 species